CCCCCAAGCUCCUUGGAGGAAACUACCUCUGUCUCCCACCUUAGUAUUGUGGAUAAAGGCAUGCCUAAAGUCUAGAUAUUGAUGUGGGUGCUAAGACCCAAACUCAAAUUCUCAUGCUUGCAAAGCAAGCACUUUACCUGCUGAGCCAUCUCCCCAACCCCCCAGAUAUGUAAAUUCUCAAAACCCACUGUGAACCUUCCAAAUUAGAAGCACUGGAGGCGGGGUCUUCGAUGAUCUGUAUUUCAACAAGCUCCUUUGGAGAUAUGAGAACCAGUGGUCUAGUGCAAAGUAUUCUGUAACUUCCACCUCUCAAAGCUAACUGGAGCAGAAGGCAUGAAGAGGAAGCAGCGCCGAAAAUCUCUGGAAAGUUGUUGAGAAAGGCAUUCUUAUCACACCUAUUUCUGAUAUGCAAGAAUGGAGGCUGGGGAUCCACAUGACUUGUGACAGAGUUAAUAAAAGGUACUAUGCAUGCUACCAAAGGAGAAAGGUAAAUAGGACCCCAGCUACAAUCCUUUGAUCUACAAUGGUGACCUGCCUGUAAGAAGCACUAUGGUACAAGCUUGUGUAAGUAACCCAUCUAAUUGGAUUUAAGGCCCACUCCAUGAAGAGAAACCAGUACCUGACACUGCUUGGAUCUGUGAGAACCCGAGAGAAGAUAGGCCAGGAACCUAGGGAAAAAACAAAUAAUCCUACUGUUCGGCUAGAGGAAUGUAGCAAUACAAUGACUUCUAAGGACAUUCUGCUACACUCCUAAAUCAGUUUUUGUUCAGCCAUCAUCAGAGAAGCAUUCUCCUGCAGUAGAUGAGAACAAAUACAGAGAACCACAACUAGAAAAUAUGCAAUGAGUAACCUUGGAACAUUCAGUCCUAGAAGAAAUGUAUCCAAUAAAUGCCCCCUUCAGGGCUCAGAGAACACUGUGGAAGAGGAGGCAGAAAGUUUGUUAAGAGCCAGAGAGGAUUGAGGACCCCAAGGACACUAAGCCUGCUAAAUAUAGCAGGGCAGAUGCAUAUAUAAAUUCACAGAGACUGUGGCAUCAUGCACAGGGCCUGCACAAGUUUGAGCCAGAUGGGGCCCCAAUGAUGAGAGAGGAAGUGGACACAAGCCCUCAUCUCUAAUCUAACUGAUAACCACUUGCAAAUGAAAAAUUAGUUUUCUCCAACCUAGCCUCAUUGCAUGGACAAACCACUCUUAAGGGCAGGCCCCAUGCCCAGCAGUAGAUAGCCAACACAACAAACUCAAUGGCAUUUUUGAAGGUUCAUAAUCUUAGAAUGCUUUGUCAGGGUUUUUCUUCUGUUUGUUGUUAUUGUUGUUUGUUUGCUUUAUUUUGUUUUGUACCUUAUAGAUCCUUUGCAUAUACUUCAUGGUUCCCCGUUUUGUGUUUCUGUGGGAUUUCUAUGUGUUCAAACAUGCUUGUCUCUGAAUCUACCGCAUCUAUGGCACCCAACGUGGGGCAAGAGUUUCCACCUAAAACCUGAGAAAAAAGAUUCUAAAACGGAGCUAAAAACAGUUCCUAGUUGUCUCUUUCAAGUUAGCAGCAGCCUGCCGGUUUGAGCUACUGGUGGGUUCCUAGCGUGCAUGCUCGACCUGCAGUAUGGUGGGAAUGAGGCCUCUGCAAGUGACACAUUAAGCUGUGUGGUGGAUUUAGCCUUUGCUAGUACAAAACAACAACAAAAAAAAGAGGUUUCUGGGCUACACGCUGCUUUGAUAGAAGCAUAGACCCACUAUUUCUGAAAGUUGAUGGCUCCCAGAGCUGGCAGAAAACUUAUCACUGCCAUGUUGGAAAGCUAAAGUGGGCGGAGUCAGCAGCACCAGUGCUGUUUCAGGCUUAGAAGGCUGCAGUUCAAAGCAAUAGGCUCAAGCUAAUAUAAAAAAGUAAGCCACAUAAAGAUGGCUACCACACAAAGAAUCUGGAUUAUGUUCUCUUUGAAAUUCGUAACUACAAAAAAAAUUUGAUUGUAAAAGCUGUUGAGUUAUGCCAAAAUGUAUAUUUUAAAGGUACCUUGACUUCAAAAUUUGCAUGUAAGGAUGUGUUACUUUGGAAAGGAGACUCUGCUUUUGUUUCCACAGAAAGCCAGAGGCUAUGGAUUUGUUCCAGAUUAAGAUACAUCAAGUUUGACCAGCCAAGACCACCUGAAAGGUCUCCAAUGACACCAUGGCCCAGAUGAUCCAACAUCCAGAACCAUUUCAAGGCAACUGGCUCAGACGAUACACCCUCAUGGACUACUCCAUAACCCUAAAAUAUUCUUUAUGUCCCCAUAAGAUACAGCGCCCCCCUCCAGCAGGAAGUGUAGGUUUUGCAGGAUGGUGUACAACAUCCCGGAGCUUAAGCAGGUGCAGACUCAUCUCCUGAACCUGUGGCUCAGCUGUAGCAUCUCUCAGCUCUGUGGAAAAAGGAAGGCCAGAGAUGAGGAAAGUUUCACUUUUUAGAUUGGACCUCCCGAAGGACCACCAUGGUCCUCAAUGCAAUGAGAGGCCACGUUGGUGUUGGUGGUCCGCGCUGCUUCCCCAGGCCAUGAAGAAACCUGGGAUCCAUUUGGACAUACCUAGCUGCCUGAUGCCUUGAUGAUGUCCUUGGGCUUUUCUGCCUUGGGGAGCCAUGCUGAUGUGAGCGGCUUGUUUAACCACCUGAGACCAUGUUAGGUAUCCUGGUCCAUGUAACUGGUGAAGGCCAUGUGAGGGUCAGUGGUCCUGAUAUAACCAAGAGCCAUGUUAAUGUCUGCCACCCAUGAUACCACCCACACCCAUGGUCGAGGCUGCUGCCUGAAGCCUUGGGCACUGAAGAGCUGGGCUCCAUCCACCACAGGGCCCUCCUUAGCUGAUGGCUUCUGGCAAAUGGAUGCAGGCAGAAAAAGACUCAUCUUUCCUGGGGCAGGGCUGGUCACUAGGAAUUUGACCAUGCUCCAGUGAAUGUAUAGAUAACACAAAAUGGACUUGUUUUUUUUCUUUUUCUUUGGUUGGGGGACAUCACAGGGGAGGGGGUGGACAUGGGAAGACUGGGAGGUGAGUGUGA